CCUAGGGGCGCGGGGGGAAGGGAGCGCCUCCGUUCUUCCACCCUCAGCCCCCAACCCCACCUCGCCCCACCCCCAUUCCGCGGACGCGGUUGGAGGAGGGAAGAUCGGAGUUAGGGGAGAGGACGGCGGGAAUGGGAAGCCACAGUUGCUCCAGCACAGGAGACCCCUCCCCAUCCCAGGAAACACGGAGGACUGCAGUGAGGAAGCCACGAGUUCGCAGCGCGGGUCUUUGCCCAUAAUGGUGGAGGUAGUGAGAAAUGGUCAGAUUCUCGAUAUUUUUUAAAGACGAGUUUCACUCUUGUUGCCCAGGCUGG
rnacentral:lncRNA from 1 species